UGGGGUGUGGCUGUGUUAGAGCGACUGCCUGGCAUGCAGGAGGUCUGGGGUUCAAUCCCCAGCACUGCAA
rnacentral:tRNA from 1 species